GGCGGGCACUUGGAGCCCAGGGCAGGGUUCACAGAGCUAUUUUCAGUUCUCUUGCAGGAUCUCCUUCCCAGCCUUCAGAAAUUGCCGGUCUGGGAGUUGGGGGCAAGGAGAAGAUCCUGAAUUAGACCUUUACGAGAAGCACAGUUUUGUCUUCAGUUUCCUCUCCCCCCACCCGGAAUGGCCUGAGCCGAAGCCAGCUCCCUCCGAGAAGUCAUUACCGCCUGAUGCUGGCUCCCCGUCCCCUGUCCACCAUGAGUCAAAGCAAUGUGAGUCCCUCACCAGAUGCAACUGCCCAGUCUUGGACUUUCCAGUGACCAGAAUCAUGAGCCAAAUAAACCUCUUUUCUUUAUGAAUUACCCAGCCUCAAGUAUUCUGUUAUAGCA
rnacentral:lncRNA from 10 species